UUUUUUUUUUUUUUUUUUUUUUUUAAUGUAUGUUACAUCAGAACUUUUGACUGGGUAGACCGAUUUCGACAAAUUUUGUUUUAAUCGAAAGGUGGCGUGUGCCAAUUGGUCCCAUUUAAAUUUAUUUGAGAUCUAACAACUACUUUUCGAGUUAUAUCUAAUAAUGCGUUUUUACUUGACGCUUUUUUCGUCGACCUACGUUGUAUUAUACCUCAUAACUUUCUACUGGAUGUACCGAUUUUGAUAAUUCUUUUUUUGGAAAGGGGAUAUCCCUAGUUUGGUACCGUGAUAAGGAAACCAGGAUCUGAUGAUGGGAUCCCAAAGAAAUCGAGGGAAAUUCUCGAAAAUCCGUAAUAACUUUUUACUGGGUGUACCGAUUUUGAUAAUUUUUAAUUUAAUCGAAAGCUGAU
rnacentral:misc_RNA from 1 species